GGAGGGUGAUCUGGCUCCAACAUCUGUCAACCGAUUAAUCACCAUGGUUGAUUUGGCUAGGCAGGUGUCCCCUUCCUCCCUUAACACUUCUUGUGCAACUCUCCCAAAGCUGCAUGCUGGGUCGAAGGUGAUGGUCUUCCCUGAAUAGAGAUAAACCGGUGUUUUGUCAAGGGUAUACAAGUAGCUGCACUCCUCUGCUAGAGCCUCCAAAUAAGCUCUUAAAAAUAAAAGUUAUUAUCAGAAAUGCAUUAACAAUUUAAGCCCAGUGAAUUCAUUUAGUUUAUAGAGUUGAAACAUU
ensembl:misc_RNA 7SK 7SK RNA